rnacentral:rRNA from 1 species
UACGUAGGGCGCAAGCGUUGUCCGGAAUUAUUGGGCGUAAAGAGCUCGUAGGCGGCUUGUCACGUCGGGUGUGAAAGCCCGGGGCUUAACCCCGGGUCUGCAUUCGAUACGGGCAGGCUAGAGUGUGGUAGGGGAGAUCGGAAUUUCUGGUGUAGCGGUGAAAUGCGCAGAUAUCAGGAGGAACACCCGAGGCGAAGGCGGCUCUCUGGGUCGUACCUGACGCUGAGGCGCGAAAGCGUGGGGAGCGAACGGG